rnacentral:rRNA from 1 species
UACGUAGGGGGCUAGCGUUGUCCGGAAUCAUUGGGCGUAAAGCGCGCGUAGGCGGCCCGGUAAGUCCGCUGUGAAAGUCAAAGGCUCAACCUUUGAAUGUCAGCGGAUACUGCCGGGCUAGAGUCCGGAAGAGGCGAGUGGAACUCCUGGUGUAGCGGUGAAAUGCGCAGAUAUCAGGAGGAACACCAAUAGCGAAGGCAGCUCGCUGGGACGGUACUGACGCUAAGGCGCGAAAGCGUGGGGAGCAAACAGG